AGCUUCCUUCCAUCAACUCCUGUAAGAAAAACUGGCAGGAGAAACUGAUCACCAUAAGUAAAGAACCACUGCCUCACAGAAGGGUGAGCCCAGACUAGGGAAAGAUCUCACAGGGAAGAAAAACAACAUAGAUAAAAGUACAGUUGCUGUCCGUUGUUUCUGGAGAGAAAGGCAGCCAGGGCAUUUGGAGUAUGUUUUGGGUGACACCAGUUCCAAGUUCCAAGCUGUGAGUCAGAGGAGGGAUUCACUGAGUAUCUAAUCCUGUGCUUCUCCGAGCCCCUGGUGCCUGGGAAAGUGGACGUGCACCAAGCCUUGUAACCUGAGCUGAGAUUCCCCCAAGCCCAGUAUCAAAGUAUGCUGUUUUAGGUUUUCUCCAGUGCCCUUUCUCCAGAUGAAAAGAGGUGAGGUUGGACAGCACACCAAACAAAUGCACAGGUAGUGGCUGUAGCUAAUCCUUAUUCAGUCAUUCCUAUUUAAAUCAGGGGAACUGCUGCAAGAAGGAUUAGAACCCUGGGUCCUUUUAUGUUAUUUAGAAUGCAAGUUUUAAGUUAAAUUUUUCAGAUUCUCUUCCUAGGUCACAAGGACAUUUCUAUUAUAUCUGUCAUCACGCAACUAGAAAAACAUUAGUUUAGAUCCUGUGCUAUUGCUUGGACAGCAUAGAGGCCACUGAAUAUUCUAAACACCUUCACGAUAUUCUGUCCUAAGCCAAAUCUGGUGCAUUACAGGCUCGGAUGUCUAGGCGUCUGUUAAUGUCAUGCAGCCAUCAUGUUUCACAAAAAUAUUAGUUGAUUGCAAAGCAUUCGUCUCUCUCCAACUUUUGACCCUAAAACACUACAAAUAAAAACUGACUAUGCUUGAACUGUAGUCGUAGUGUUCAUUUUUCCUCAGUGGAAAAAUACAAAAAAAUCUUGUUUCUCUCUCUGUACCUCUCGUUUCAAUAGAUCUUAAUAUGGCACAGGAGGAAAACAACAUUCUGUAUUUGCAAAACAAACACACACAGAGAGCUGCACAAUAAGCAAAAUGCAUUUGAUUUAAAAGGUCGCCUGCAUCAGUCCAGUGCCUUAGCAACAGUAGGUUGAGUUGCUGAGAGACUCAAAAUGUACAUGGACUUGGAUUUCUUGGUCACAGUCAUGUGGAAAUUAAGGCCUGCAGUAGGAAAACAACACUCCUUCUGGCUUUCAUGGGAGAUUCUGGCUGUUCCGGCCAAUCUGUCAAGGGAUGGCACAGGCAACACUGAUAUCACUUGAGGGGCUCUCUCAGUAGGGGCUUUAUCUUGGAAGUUGCUGAGUACUUGGAUUCUGAUUCACUAGGCACUUAAGCAGGUGCUUAACUUUAAGCCUAUGAAUAGUCUCAUUUACUUCAGCGCAGAUUUAAAGUUAAGCUUAUGUGCUUUGCUGAGCACCUUACAUGUACAGAGACUGAGAAUACAAGAGGGUAAAGUCAAGCAAAUGUUCCUUUUUAGCCAAGUGCGCUAAAAUUCAGGAGUCAGGCAUUCCCCUUCAUUCACUACUUGGUUAUAAAUGCUUCCUGUGCAACAAGUUCCAAAGCAAAUCUUCAUUGACAAGGAUCCCAGUGAGGCUUUCAAAAAAACAAAACAAAACCACACCAAGUUUCCAAUCUAAAGUUACAAUUUCCCACCCCCAUCAUUAGUUCUUUCUCCCUGACAUCACCGUCCAGUAUGGACAGUGCAAACAGAACUUCCUAAAGGGCCUUGACCCUAAAGACACAGCUCAUUGAGAAAGUUCCCAACCUCUUUUCUCAGACCAGGCCCAUCCAUCUCUCUCACCCUCAGCUCCCCCUAGAGACCAGAAGAAUCUGCUGGGAGGAGCCUUCAUAGUCUGAUGUCAUCACCCAGCUCUGAAAUUUGCUACUCACAACAAAAACGCUACAAUCACAUGUGUUAAUGGGAUUAAACUGUGGUUUCCACCAAUAUGCAAGGUUUCUAUGCUAUGUCAACUGAAUAGCUUCCAAUAAGGCUCACUGGUAGAAAACAACUGAGCGUGAAAUAGUCACUGCAAAUACCAAGCUCACAAAACCAAAGAUGUAAGGAAGGUGCACUCUCCCGGAGAGUCAUACCACAACAGCAGUGGUUCCAGUACUGCUCACAAGCUAGAGAGGGUUGAAUGGGAGAGCUCCAAAGAGCUACAGAAGUUGUGCUGUGGAUUUGAGUCAACACUAACUAAUGCCCCCAGCAUGGUACUUUAGGUAGGACACUGCUGCUAAGCAGAGAGCAGAAGUCAAGACCAUUUUUGUUUUUUAUAUAUUUCAGGGCAUUUUUUUGUGCAAGUGGAGACAUCAGUUCUAGUACCCUGGCCAAAUUCCAAUCUUCCUGGAGAAAAAUCAACCCAACAGUUCCUUCUCAAUAUAGUAUGCUUCACUCACUGUCCUAAAACUGUUGUAUGAGUUGUUAUGCAGUUAAACAGCUGUUGCAUUUUACUCUAUGUGCGGCUGCAUCUCCCUGGCGGGUGUAGGGAUACUUUAUGGCCCUUCAGGAUAAAAAGUCAUAUGUUUAGUAUUUAUAAUAUGUCUGUCUGAAGGAAAGAAGGGAAACAGCUCAGCGUGUGGUACAAAGCAUUUAAAAUGCCCUGAGCUAGCAUUAAUACUUAAACAUGCUUUAAAUGUUUGUUUGUUCAUCUGUCAAUUUAUAAAGCAGAAUCUUACUGUACAAUUUUGUGGACUCUUAUUACAAACAAGUAACAAUUUGUUGGAACUAAACUGAAUGGGCUUUUUGAAUCAAUCAUUUAAAUAAAUUUUUCCUUUAAAGCAGAGUUUCACUCUUUAGAGCAGAUACCCUGCUGGGGAAGAAACAGCAAGAGAAAAAUGAGAGAAAAACAAUAGGCUGAAAUCCAGAGAAUAAUCCUUGUCUCAAGCCAGGACACCUUAUUUUUAAAAUUCACAGCUAUUUACUGAGUCCCAAAGACUAAUUCUGAAAUUUGUUUAAAGAAGUUUCUGUUCUAAAGAAACUUGAACAAUGUGAAUGAUAGCACAACAGGUAUUGCCAGCUGUAGGCAAUCGCUACAGAGAUUUGGAACUCCUCUAAGGACACAAGUUCCAAAUGUGUGGGAAACAAGUGUUUAUUAAUUGACAACCUAAUAUCUAAUGGAUUAAAUGGACUAGCCAACACCUAGCUCUUUAAAAUAUACCUUGUUUCAUAGCCACAAAUACAGUGAGCACAGAUCUUUAAAAAAAAUAAGUGAAGAAUUUAAUGGUAGAAAAAAAGGAAGAAAAGAGGUUGAAAAAACACAACAAGAACCACAAAUUGUUCAUUCAAUUUAAGGAAUUGUUUGCUUGUGAUUAAUGAACAUGACGGUUGUAGUACGAUGAAGGCCUAAAACAUAAGCCCAUCUAGCGCAGGACUGAUUAGAGGCCCUUGCUCACAGAACUAGGAACAAACAGGGCUGAGAGUGCAAGACACUAAUUGGUAAUAGGUCCAGGUGUAGAAUAGUAAUUGAUACUAGGUACCAACUGCAAAACAGUAAUUGGUACUGGUCAUAAAUGGAAAGCACAUGGUACCACCAGCUCAUUAAAAAAAGACCUUGGUACCUAGAUUUUUAGAAAGCCUAUUGCAACCUUGGUACCUAGAAUGCUGCUUAAGGAACAGCUUAAGGAACAGCUUAAGAAAUGAUUAAUAGUCAUUUGCUGAAAGAGUUGUCUCACGUGUUAGGAAACAGGGGUCUGUUUGUGGGUUUGGGGAUUAUACUACAAAUUAUAUUUAUACUCCACUCAUUUUAGUAUUAAAAGAAGGAUCAUUCUACACAUUAGAGACACUAAGAGAUGGGCUGUAAAAGAAUAUAAGAAUGGCCAUACUGGGUCAGACCAAAGGUCCAUCUAGCCCAGUAGCCUGUCUGCCAACAGUGGCCAGCACCAGGUGCCCUAGAGGGGGUGGACCGAAGACAAUGAUCAA